rnacentral:tRNA from 1 species
UGGGGUGUAGCUCAAAGGUAGAGCAUGCAUUUAGCAUGUGUGAAGCCCUGGGUUCAAUCUCCAGCACCCUGA